UCGAGAAUAUUCGACAAUGGGCGAAAGCCUGAUCGAGCGACGCCGCGUGCAGGAUGAAGGCCCUCGGGUUGUAAACUGCGGUAGUAGGGGAGGAACGCAAGUGACUGUACCCUACGGAAAGUGGUUGGUAACUACGUGCCAGCACCAGCGGUAAUACGUAGACCACAAGCGUUAUCCGGAUUUAUUGGGCGUAAAGAGCAUGUAGGAGGUCCGGUGCGUCUCUGGUUAAAGCCCACCGCCUAACGGUGGAAGUGCCAGAGAUACGAUCGGACUGGAGGAUGUGAGAGGUGCAUGGAACUCACGGUGUAGGGGUGAAAUCCGUUGAUAUCGUGGGGAACACCAAAGGCGAAGGCAGCGCACUGGCCAAAAUCUGACGCUCACACACGAAAGCUAGGGUAGCGAAGAGGAUUAGAUACCCUUGUAGUCCCUGAGCGGGCUGGCAAGGCGCAU
rnacentral:rRNA from 1 species